GAUGAACGCUGGCGGCGUGCCUAAUACAUGCAAGUCGAGCGAACGGACGAGAAGCUUGCUUCUCUGAUGUUAGCGGCGGACGGGUGAGUAACACGUGGAUAACCUACCUAUAAGACUGGGAUAACUUCGGGAAACCGUAGCUAAUACCGGAUAAUAUUUUGAACCGCAUGGUUCAAAAGUGAAAGACGGUCUUGCUGUCACUUAUAGAUGGAUCCGCGCUGCAUUAGCUAGUUGGUAAGGUAACGGCUUACCAAGGCAACGAUGCAUAGCCGACCUGAGAGGGUGAUCGGCCACACUGGAACUGAGACACGGUCCAGACUCCUACGGGAGGCAGCAGUAGGGAAUCUUCCGCAAUGGGCGAAAGCCUGACGGAGCAACGCCGCGUGAGUGAUGAAGGUCUUCGGAUCGUAAAACUCUGUUAUUAGGGAAGAACAUAUGUGUAAGUAACUGUGCACAUCUUGACGGUACCUAAUCAGAAAGCCACGGCUAACUACGUGCCAGCAGCCGCGGUAAUACGUAGGUGGCAAGCGUUAUCCGGAAUUAUUGGGCGUAAAGCGCGCGUAGGCGGUUUUUUAAGUCUGAUGUGAAAGCCCACGGCUCAACCGUGGAGGGUCAUUGGAAACUGGAAAACUUGAGUGCAGAAGAGGAAAGUGGAAUUCCAUGUGUAGCGGUGAAAUGCGCAGAGAUAUGGAGGAACACCAGUGGCGAAGGCGACUUUCUGGUCUGUAACUGACGCUGAUGUGCGAAAGCGUGGGGAUCAAACAGGAUUAGAUACCCUGGUAGUCCACGCCGUAAACGAUGAGUGCUAAGUGUUAGGGGGUUUCCGCCCCUUAGUGCUGCAGCUAACGCAUUAAGCACUCCGCCUGGGGAGUACGACCGCAAGGUUGAAACUCAAAGGAAUUGACGGGGACCCGCACAAGCGGUGGAGCAUGUGGUUUAAUUCGAAGCAACGCGAAGAACCUUACCAAAUCUUGACAUCCUUUGACAACUCUAGAGAUAGAGCUUUCCCCUUCGGGGGACAAAGUGACAGGUGGUGCAUGGUUGUCGUCAGCUCGUGUCGUGAGAUGUUGGGUUAAGUCCCGCAACGAGCGCAACCCUUAAGCUUAGUUGCCAUCAUUAAGUUGGGCACUCUAAGUUGACUGCCGGUGGCAAACCGGAGGAAGGUGGGGAUGACGUCAAAUCAUCAUGCCCCUUAUGAUUUGGGCUACACACGUGCUACAAUGGACAAUACAAAGGGCAGCGAAACCGUGAGGUCAAGCAAAUCCCAUAAAGUUGUUCUCAGUUCGGAUUGUAGUCUGCAACUCGACUACAUGAAGCUGGAAUCGCUAGUAAUCGUAGAUCAGCAUGCUACGGUGAAUACGUUCCCGGGUCU
rnacentral:rRNA from 1 species